CUGGCGGCGUGCCUAACACAUGCAAGUCGAGCGAGGAGAUCCUCGGGAUGAUCCUAGCGGCGGACGGGUGAGUAACACGUGGGCAACCUGCCUCAUAGAGAGGAAUAGCCUUCCGAAAGGGAGAUUAAUACCUCAUAACAUUGCAGUUUCGCAUGGAACAGCAAUUAAAGGAGUAAUCCGCUAUGAGAUGGGCCCGCGGCGCAUUAGCUAGUUGGUGAGGUAACGGCUCACCAAGGCGACGAUGCGUAGCCGACCUGAGAGGGUGAUCGGCCACAUUGGGACUGAGACACGGCCCAGACUUCUACGGGAGGCAGCAGUGGGGAAUAUUGCACAAUGGGGGAAACCCUGAUGCCAGCAACGCCGCGUGAGUGAUGACGGCCUUCGGGUUGUAAAGCUCUGUCUUCAGGGACGAUAAUGACGGUACCUGAGGAGGAAGCCACGGCUAACUACGUGCCAGCCGCCGC
rnacentral:rRNA from 1 species